rnacentral:lncRNA from 1 species
UGGAGGUAUGAGGAUCCGCGCAAUGCGGUUCGGAGGCGGCCGCGGCGCCCCAGAGGUGAAAGCGGAGGCGCCAGGACGCCGGUGCCGGCCUCUCAGGAUGCUAGGCGGCCACACACGAGUAUUGAGGAUCAAAGUUAGAACCCCGCACUUGUGAGGAAGGCCCAGUGCCACUGAGCUAAAUCCCCAGCCCCUGAAUUUAUGAUCUUGCCUCAGCCUCCCAAAGUGCUGGGAUUACAGAUGAGGAAACUGAGGCCCAGAGAGAUCACACAGCUACUAAGUCAAGGAGCUGGGACAGGCGUGGGUGCUGAAAAGUGAUUGAUACUGAUAGUAAAAUUGAGGAAGACAUGAUGUUUUUGUAAUUUGAGAAAAAUCACUGAAGAAUAAACUAUAUGAAGUCAUUGAUGCCAAAUUCCCAGCCCCAGCCUUUGCAGCUGCCCCGCCUGGGGUUCGUCUCUAUGGGAAGGAGUCUUUGCCGUGGACAGAGGCCGUGAUGACGAAGGUCAGGCUUAGAGAUCCAGGAAGUUGAGACAUGGAAAGCAGGAGUGGAGCAAGGAGGGUGGCAAAAAUCAUGACAUUUCACACACUCCGCCCCAGUGGAACCCAUCUUCCUCUGCUGUCUAACUGAAGAACUAGCAAUGCCUUCCAAAGCUAAAGGAAACUCCAGCUCCAUGCAACAGAUGGUGCCAAGUGAUAGAAAGAAAACAGUGGGAAGAAUACCUGGUAUAUAGCAGAAAACUGGAGCUUCAACAUGGUGGCAUACAGGUAAAGUCUAAUUGCCAGUCCUCCCCAGGGUGUGUCUCUCUCCCCUGAACAGGUUCUAAUAAAAGAAGUGGUUUGGGACUGCCCAGGUUCUUGUAGGCACAGAGUGGUCAAGCUUUGCAGACGUGUGAGGUGGUUGCUGCUAGUCCUAGACCACCUGUGAAAACGCAAGUGAUGUAGCUAAACAAAUAUUUUAUGACUUCUCUUGGUUACAAAAAUGAAGUAAAUUUCCAGAAAUGUGAUUGUGGGUAAAUACAGAGACUAUUUGAAAUUGGACGAGAACUGAAUCAAAUUCAAGGGUUAGCUUCAAUGUUGACCUUAUGAGGAAACUUGAUGUGGUUCUCAUCCGCUUCAUUAUGUGACCAGAAUUGUGGAGAGAAUUAAGUUCAUGAACUGAGGUACCACUGUACUUCAUUGUCCUAAUGGAUAGAAGGAG